AUUGAACGCUGCGGCAUGCCUUACACAUGCAAGUCGAACGGUAACAGGUCUUCGGAUGCUGACGGGUGGCGAACGGGUGAGUAAUACAUCGGAACGUGCCUUGCAGUGGGGGAUAACUACCCGAAAGAGUGGCCAAUAACGCAAGAGACCCACGGGUGACAGCAGGGGAUCGCACGACCCUGUGCUCCCAGAUAGGGAGAUGGCAGAUUAGUUAGUUGGUGGGAGAAAAGCUUACCAAGCCGACGAUCUGUAGCUAGUCUGAGAGGACGAUCAGCCACACUGGGACUGAGACACGGCCCAGACUCCUACGGGAGGCAGCAGUGGGGAAUUUUGGACAAUGGGCGAAAGCCUGAUCCAGCAAUGCCGCGUGCAGGAUGAAGGCCUUCGGGUUGUAAACUGCUUUUGUACGGAACGAAAAGCCCCGGGUUAAUACCCUGGGGUCAUGACGGUACCGUAAGAAUAAGCACCGGCUAACUACGUGCCAGCCGCCGCCGUAA
rnacentral:rRNA from 1 species